GACGAACGCUGGCGGCGUGCUUAACACAUGCAAGUCGAACGGAAAGGCCCUGCUUUUGUGGGGUGCUCGAGUGGCGAACGGGUGAGUAACACGUGAGUAACCUGCCCUUGACUUUGGGAUAACUUCAGGAAACUGGGGCUAAUACCGGAUAGGAGCUCCUGCUGCAUGGUGGGGGUUGGAAAGUUUCGGCGGUUGGGGAUGGGCUCGCGGCUUAUCAGCUUGUUGGUGGGGUAGUGGCUUACCAUGGCUUUGACGGGUAGCCGGCCUGAGAGGGUGACCGGCCACAUUGGGACUGAGAUACGGCCCAGACUCCUACGGGGGGCAGCAGUGGGGAAUAUUGCAAAAUGGGCGGAAGCCUGAUGCAGCAACGCCGCGUGCGGGAUGACGGCCUUCGGGUUGUAAACCGCUUUCGCCUGUGACGAAGCGUGAGUGACGGUAAUGGGUAAAGAAGCACCGGCUAACUACGUG
rnacentral:rRNA from 1 species